rnacentral:tRNA from 1 species
GCGUCCGUAGCUCAGUUGGAUAGAGCGCGAGCCUUCUAAGCUCGGGGUCGCAGGUUCGAACCCUGCCGGGCGCGCCA